UCAUUCAAGGUCCUAAGAAAAUUAUUAUUUGGUAGUUUUCUAUGUAUGUAUUUCUAAAAAUUUUGCUUCAUUUUACUUUAAAAUCUCUCUUUCAGACUUUUAGAAAAAGAAAAUAUUAAAGACAAAGAUCUGUUGUAAUCAUUUGUAGAAUUAAGUAAUCCUACAUCAUCUAGUCCAAUCAGAAACAUGAUUUAUAAAUGAAACAUCCUUAUGCAUUUCUUUCUUAUAUCUAUCUAAACGUUUAUAUGAGUUUCUAAUUUAGAGAUGAAUUGUUACCUCAUCUGAAGAAUGCAUUUACUUCAAUAAAAUCAGAGGCUUCACAGAAAUUUUAUAAAGCAUGUUGAAUAGUGUCAUCUAGAUGCUAACAUGUUAUUCCUUCGUAGUAGCUACUUCACUAUAACUACUUCACAAGCCUCCUUUAUCAGUGAUAACACAUGAUCUUGACUUUGCCCUUAAUAGAUGUCUUAAAAAUAUGUUUCAUGAAUCAAUGAAAAAAAUGUCAUUUGUUAAGUAAAACAAAGCACCACAUUAUCUUUAUUUUCCCCAAUGAAAAACAUAGAAGGUAAUUAAGUGAAACUUUAGAAGCACGCACAUGCCAUAUGCAGACAUUUACAACCUAAUUUCCAUAAAUCACUGUUUAUACUCAAGGAGGUUUUGUUUUUAUUUUUUGUUAUUUGUUCGUUUAGUGUUAUUGAGUGAGGAACUCAAACAGUAUGUGUUAAAUUAAAACAAAUUGCAUAGGGGUAAGUGUAAAAUAUAAUUUAAAUAUAAUAUAUAUAGAAUGACUUGUUUUUAAAUUUACAAUUGUACAUCUAUGUAAUUCUUAAAAAUUUAUUGUUGGAAACUGUCUUCCCAAAUGAUACUCUUUCGAACACAGUUCCCUCUUAGGCUGAUAUGAAUUAUUUGGUGCUAGAAGAUGUGCCCUCUCUGCGUACUGUGAUGAUCAUCUUUCUUCCAGAUGUUCACACCAUCCCUCCUUACACAAAACAGCCCCAGGACAAGAACCUUGUCAGAGAUUUGGAAAGCUAAUAAAAUAUCCAGGCUCUGGUGCUUUCUACCAAUAGACUAAACCAAGUUGAAAUGGAUGGUCCCCAGGUCCCUUUUGUCUCUAGGAGCCUAUGCUUCUCUUUAACUCCAUCAUUAAAAUCUGUGCCUCGCAAUUUAUUGCCAACCCAAAAUUUGCAAUAUUGUCAUAGUCUGGGAUUCAUGAAUGGUCAUUGUAAAAGACAAAAUGUCUGAUGUCAUGAUUCAGCAGUUUACAUGUAUCUCAAAUUUAAUUUUCUGGAGUGAGUUUUAUCAUUUUAAUGUGGCAGAGAAUUACAUUGUAGGAAAUAUAAAACCAGUAUUGUUCACCUCCUUGGGGAGAACACAAUCAAAAAUAGGAAAUCAAGCCUACCUCUGAAACAUUUCAUUUGUUCAUUGAAGGUAAUAUAUUAAAAAAAAAAAAAAAAAAAAAAAACAUACAAGCCUAGAAUUCAUAGAGAUCUGAGGCCUUAGCUCCUGGCAUACUAUCUUCUUUGUUUUCACAUUUGGGGACAGGACAAUUUAUAUUUUGCAGGUCCAAUUUUACCUUUGGAAGAUGGAGAGUAUAAUAACCAUUCACUUUUGUGAUGUGAAGAAUGAUACAAAACGUCAGUGUGUGUCUGGCUCAUAAGAGGUUCUUAAAAUUUCAUCUUCUUUCUUUCAUUUGCAUUACAAAACAAAAAAAUUGAUUAAGACUAAGAAAACUUAGUAUAGGUGUUUGAAUAGACUUCCAUUUAUUCCUAACUCCUUAAAUGAUGCUUAAAUUUUUAAUCACAUUUACAAAGUCUUGCAUAACUCAUAGUAUUAUGGAAGAGUAGAGAAUGGAUUAAAUGUGGGCAAAAAUAGUUAAGAAUCUCAGGUGCAAUGCAUAUUGAAAAUUUAGAAGAAAUCUAUUCUCUAUAUCAUAAAACACAAUUUUGUAAUAGUCCUAUUUAUACUAAUUAGCAAUACAGCAUUUGACUGGAUCUGAGUGUCAGUGACAUUCUCAAUUUACCAUAUAAAUUCAAAGUAUAUUACUGACGCAUAAUUUAUUAUAUUUCUCAUAUAUAGUUGGUUUUUGGAUUUACCAUUAGGUAUUUAUAGUCUGUGAAACUCUUUCUGGAAAAAGGUAUAAAAAUUAUCUAUGUAUCUUCAUAAAUCUAAAAAAGAUGUUAAAAAAUUUUUAAAGAGAUUUAACUAUAUUAUUUAAAAAACAUUGAUUCAAUACUUUUAUUUAUGGUUUCAAUGUUCCAAAACAUGGAAUGCUCAUUGCCCAAAACACAUAAUUAACAUUACUCUAGUAAAUUGGAUAUCUGUGCCUCCCUCCAAAUCCAUAUGUUAACACCUAGUCCCAUCCUGAUGGUUUGGAGGUGGUACCUUUGGAAGGUGAUUGGAUCAUGAAGGUGGAACACUCAUUAAUGGUAUUGGUAUCUGUGCUGGCUUGUGGUUGUGAUCAAAAUACUUGAUGAGAACAAUUUAAAGGAAGAAACCUUUGGAUCACAGUUUUAGAAGUUCAUUCCAUGGUCAGGUGACUCCAUUGCUCUGGGGCCAAGGUAAGGCAGAACAGCAUGGUGGAAGAGUGUGGCAGAGGAGUCUUGCUUAAUUUAUGAUAGCAGGAAGCCAAGAGAGAAAGAAAAGGGGGAGGGAUGGGUUGGGGGGAGGGACCACAUAGAAGAUAAUGCCUUCUAAGGUACAUCUUAGAGAUCUACCUCCUCCAGCCACACCCUCUCUGCCCACAGUUAUCACCAGUCUUUGCAUUCAAAUGAGGAUGGAUAGAUCAGUUUACAGCUCUCAUACUCUAAUCAUUUUACUUUUUAAUAUUUCUGCAUUAAUGCAGGAGUUUUGGGGAGACACCUCAUAUGUAAACUAUAACAGUGUCUUUAUAAAAGCAACUCCAGAGAGCUCCCUUCCCCUUCUAUUAUGUGUACACAUACUGAGAAGGUGCCACCGGUGCACCCUCUCCAGACACAGAAUCUGCUGGCACCUUGAUCUUUGAUUUCCUAACUUCUAUAAUUAUGAGAAAUAAAUUGUUGUUUCUAUGCUCACCAGUCUAUAGCAUCCUGAGUAGACUAAGAUAAUUACUAUAUUAAAUAUCUAUUGUUUCUACAUAGCUAAAUAUAUUAUUAUAUUGAAUAUGGUACCAGCAAGCCAAUAAAUAAACAGCCCUCACCUGAUCAAUAUUUUGAAAUUGUUUAAAAGUAAAAAUAUUAUUUUGAAAUCUUUUUGAUCUAUGGUACUGAUUUUGUGGUGAUCUUUUGGAAAGAACAGUAUUGGGAUGCUUUUAUGCAAAAAGCACCCUACAAAGUAACAAUAAUUUGUAGCUGUCUUGUAAAUUAUAAUAUUUAAGGCAGAAAAUGACUAAGACAUUUAUUUUCUAUUAACUAUGCAAAGAGAUACUGGGACAAAAAUCAUCUAUUUUCCUAGUAAUACCAUCUAUUUGACCCACCCCCACAGAUCCUUCUUUGUAAAAUCCUUCCAGUAAAAUUUAUUUUCCUCUAUUUAACUAAAUUUUUGCCAAUUUCUCAAUUCUCUUAAAAAUGAGAGAAACACUACAAAUGAAUGCUUCUAAAGAGUGGAAAUGAGUUAAAUUCUUGUGCUGAUAGUGAUGGAAGUAUUCUAGAAUGUCAAAUAUGUGACAUUGGGAUUUAAGCAAUACUUUGAAACACAAAUGCUAUAAUUGGUGCAGAAUGAAAAAUGAACAAAAAAUAGAAUUGAUAAGAUGACUGAGUCCAUGUCAACUACUAUAAUUCACUACAUUAAUUUUAAAAUUAGAAAAAUCAGUAACUAAAUAAUUAAAAAUCCAUUUCUACACAGAGACAUAUCUUUAAUAAUAGAUUUUCUGGUAAAUAUCUCAUUCUUCCUGGUUGUAACUGAAGAAAUGAUUAAUAAUUAGUAUCAGUUCCUGUUUACAGCCCAACCCUUAUGAUGAUUUCAUGACAAAUUGUGUACUGGGCCAAAGAAAUGGCUUGUCUCACCAAGUAUUUUGUUUCAGAAUAACACCAAAGGACAUUUAAUGAAGAUGGUAACAAAACUGGCAAUAGCACCUGUCCCUGGAGAAUCCUACUGUUUAUAUUUUUUUAUCCAAAACCAAAUCUGCCUUUAGUUCACUUGCCUUUAAGCCAGUUCUUUAAUUAUAUCAAUAUAUUAUUCAUAACCUUGUGAUUUUGUUGUAAAAACACGUGUGUGCACACGACCUACCCUCAUAGAUCCUUCUUUGUCACAUUUUUUUACCCUCUAAAAAAUAGAGAUAAGCAUGAGUUUUUCCUGCCUAAAUGACCAUGAUUUAUAUAAUUGGUGGAAAUAAAGGAUGACUAAAAAAUAGAAUUGAUAAGAUCACUGAGUCCAUGUCAACUGUUGUAAUUAACUACAUUAGUUUAGAAAAUAUUUUAAAAAUCCUUUUUUUUUUAAUCUGGCAGUUUGAGAAAUGCCAUGGAGGUUGAGGCAUGUUCAGGAAAGUACAAAACUUUUAUGAGUAAUAUGAUUGAAAUAUAAAGUACAUUUGUCAUGUGUAACUAGAUGCACAAACUAGAUGAUAAUGUUGGUCAAUGGCCAUCUUUACCAGUGGUUCUCUUUUUAUUUUAAAUUGACAAUUCCAAUAUAAAACUAAGUUUUACAUUAUAAACCAGGACAUAUUUCCAUAUAGUUUUUUGCAUAGUUCUUAUAGGCACAGAUUCCAAUCUACCAGGGUUUUCUUUAGUUAAAAAAAUCAGUUAACCAGUAGCAAUUGUUCAAAUGCCAAUAACCAAAAUAAAUUUGAGAAAUUGCACAAAGAACAAACUUAACUGUUAGGUGUUUUGCAUAAGUUACUCUGUACAUUAUGACCAAUAACCGAUCAUUAUGUUAUUUCUUACAAUGUCCAUCAUUGAUUGGUCAAUGCAGAUGUAAUUCAGUUUACCCAUAUACAGGAAGGCAGAUGGUUGCAUUUCUACCUUUUCUCCUUAUCUUCUAGUGAUGGAGCCUGGUAAUAGUUUAUAGAAAAAAGAUAAAACAAUAUGAGUCAUACAAAAAUGAAGGUGCAGCAAUGAAAUAAAUAGCGUCAACACUUGAAAUGAAAUUCCAAUGAAAUGUAAUCAGCAGAGAAGCCAUAGCCAUAGUGGGAAUGUUGGCCCUGCCACUAUUCACUGGAGAGAAUCUAGACAGGUAGGCAGAAGUACUGAGCAAAGGUGACCUUGUCUAUGCAAUGAUGCAAUGAGGGAAGUGAUGUCAAAGGAAAUAAUGAGUAUGUUGUAGAGGGAGAGAUGUUUGCAAAAACCUGCCUGUUAAAGGAGUGCUGAGGAUUCCUUUUCAGAUACAGAGAGCACAAAAGAUAACAUGUUGGGCAUUAAUCUAAACAUCAAAAAGGAUGUGACAGUUUGCCAAAGUAUAGGAAAGAAUCUCUCUUUGUACCAUAAGUUAUAUGGUGACAUCUGGAAUUACAAUAGUACAACACCAAAAUCUGGAUCAUUGAUAUAAUUCCCACAGGAGUAUUCAUAAUUUCCCAGGUUUGCAACACUCCUGUGGUGCCUUGUGCUUGUGUGUGUACAUGCACAUGAGCUUCUGUACAUGCACAUGAGGUUCUGUGCCACUGCACUUGGGAAGCAUCCUAUAGCCAUCUCCACAACCCGGCUGUUCCAUCACCACAGGACUUGCUAUUCCUUUAUAAUCACACCUGCCUCCUCCCCUGACAACACCUAAUCCUUUUGACUUCCUAUCUUUUCUCCACCUCUGUGAUUUGGCGAUUGUGGAACUAUUUUAUUAUGAAACAUAUACUAUUUUAACCUGUUAAUAUUGGCUUUCAUUCCAUGCCACAUAAUCUCUAUCAUCCCCCAACAUAAUCCCAACACUUCCAGAGCAAGUGUUGAGUGCAUCAGUUGUUUAUACUAAGUGCUUUACGAGAAACAAAGUACUUUCACUCUCAAUGAUUCAAAAUACUUUAAAUAAAGCAGUAUUAAAUAAUAUCAGUUUUAUUAUUUCAAUUCUCUGUAUAUGUAUAAGACAUAAACAGAGAUAAUGACAUUUUAACUAAAACUUUAACAGACUGAGGGGUAAAUUAUAAUUUUACAUUAAUUUUUGAAAUACUUUUCAGUUUGUAAAGUAUUUUUAUUCUUCCACACUACUGUGCAAAGAAUACUGCUUGUGUAUAGUGUGUGUGUGUCUGUGUGUGUGUGUGUGUAUCCAUAUGUGUCUGAAACUAGCAUUUCAUGGGCAAAAUUUUCACAUGUAUUAACUUCUAUUGAAAAUAUUAAUAAAAAUAACACAAAUAUAUGAUCUUAUCAUUCUAUAGGUCAAGAAUCUGACAAAGAUCUCACAGGGCUAAUAUAAAGUUAUUGACACAAUUGUAUUUUUUUUCUUGACUUUUCUUCAUUUUAGAAAAAUAUUUUACUCUUUUUCACUGUGCUGUGAAUUGAAGCCAGGGCCUUACCAUUUUGCAAGCACUUUGCCAUAGAGCUAUACCCAAAACCCAAGACUGCCUUCCUUUCUGAAGAUUGAGACAAUCCUCCUCUUUUCCAGAUUAUAGAGACCAUUCAUAUUUUUCACAUAUGUCCCAUAUUUGCAUCUUCAAAGAACACCCAUGAUGGAUAAAGCCCUUCACACACCAGUAUCUCUCUAGCUACAGGAAAAUUUGUCUCCUUAUAAUAACUCAUGUGAUUAGAUUAGCCUCAUCUAAAUAAUAAUCUAUCCAUAUCAAAUUCUCUAUGUAUCUCCAGAAAUUAUAUUGGCCAAUUUAUAUUGUUAUAUUGUGUGCCUAAAUGAGUAUGUAACAACACAUCCCACCAUUAUGUAUAACUACAAUGCACCAUUAAAAAUAUGGGAAAAUAUUCUCUAACCUUAACCACAUUGGCACAAUAUUUUAAAUUGAUUUUUUUAAAAAAAAUUCUGUAAAAUUCUUUCUGCAUUGUAAGGUAAUCUAUUUAUAGAUUCAAUGAACUAGGGCAUGAACAUUAUUGGGGGCUAUGAUUUUGCCCAGCAUGGUCCAUUUUUGGUCCCCAAAAUAUUUAUGUCUGUGCUAGCUAUAAAACUGAGGAACCUAACUUUCCUCAAAAGUCUCAACUCACUACAGUCUCAACACAGUGUCCAAAAUUUUAUCAAAACACCACCAGUUCAGAAUUCCCAAAUUUCAUCAUCUAAGUCAUCCAAUUAAAGUAUGACUGAGGCUUCUGCAAUAAUCCGUUCUAAAGCAUAAGUCUUAUCCAUUAGUGGAUCUGUGAAAGUGAAGAAAUUAAUUAUAUGUUCCUGAAAUAUAAUGUUGAAACAAGCAUAAAAUAAUAGUUUUAAAAAUUCCAGUUUAGGGCUGGGGUUGUAGCACAGUGGUAGAAUGCUUGCCUAGCAUGGUUUUAAUCCUUAGCACUGCAUAAAAAUAAAAUAAAGGUAUUGUGUCCAUCUACAACUAAAAAAUAAAUUUAAAAAAUUCCAGUUAACAAAAAAGAAGAAAAUUGAUAGAAGGAAGGAAACAGUACCAAAAAAUAUCUAAAAUCAGCUGGGCAAACUCUAUAGAUUUCAAGACCUGGGCUGAGGAUCAUCCUCAGUGGUUUCCAGACCUUGUCUACAGACUGUGGAUUCCUCCUGUGAAUCACGUUUACUUUGUCAUGAAAUGUGGCAGAUGUUUUUGAUUCAACAUUCUGUACAGGAACAUCUGAUUGGCCAAGUGUGUGUGGAGGUGAAGAGAGAUGUUAUCAUAGAAAUAAGAGAUGACCCUCAAGAACUUACUUUAUUGUUGCUGCUUGUUUUGUCUUGGUUUUGUGAUGUUGGAGAUCAAACCAACAGCCAUGCAUAUGCUAGGUCUUCUGGCUAAGAAAGAACUAGUUCUUCACUAUUAAAGGCACAGCUGGAUGGCGAUCAGAAUCAGAUGGAUGAGAUGCUUCAAAGUCUUGACCCUGUUACCUCCUUGGAUACAGUACUUCCUUUCUGGCUUCAAGAUGGACAUGUGAACCGAACCAGGCAAGGUGAUGUACACCUGUAAUCCCAGCGUCUCAGGAGGCUGAGACAGGAGGAUCACAAGUUCAAAGCCAGCCUCUGCAAAAGUGAGGUGAUGAUUGUAAUAUUCCUUAUAAGAACUAUCAGAAGGCUGGAAGGAAUUUUGCCACAUGGAACAUCACCCCAGAUUCAUCCACCCAGCCAUACUGGAAAUGGUUUGUCUGUCACUUCAGAACAAAGCUGGAAGAAAAAUAUCAGCUAAAAUUUGCAAAUAGAGGUCAAAUCCCUGAUGAAUGGGCAAAAAUCACAAAGCAGUAUGUGCUUGAUGAGUUGAAAAAGCAAUAAUCCCCAAUGAACACAUAAGAAUAUUAGCAUCUGAACAAAAAUCAGAGUACAUAACCAAUCUUAAAACACAUCCUCCUUAUAACUAGAACUUUGAAUAGUCAACUUUGUGAAUAAAGUAUGUAAAAAUGGAUGCUUAACAUUUGGGGAGUUUGAGUGUCUAUAAAAUGACUUUAUUUUUCUCUGCCUCAAUUCCAUCUGGAUGAGAAAAAAAAAUUACUAAAAUAGGAUCAUAUGACAAAAUAAAAUAAAAUGUACUUAAAAAAAAAACAAUCUAUAGGAUCAUUUUAAGAUGCCCAAAGUAAAACAUACAUAAAUAAAUAAAUAAAUAAAAUUUCAAUGCUUGUUUUGACUGAAAAGCAAAGCAAAAUAAAAUUAAUUAAAAUAAAACUAGAAAAUUGUUUUUAAAUUACUAUUAGGGAUGAACUCAUAUCAGGUGUGGUGCUGCAUGACUAUAAUCCUGGCAGCUUGGGAGCCUGAGGCAGGAGGAUCUUUAGUUCAAUGCCAGCCUCAGCAAGAGUAAGGCUGCUAAGGAACUUGGUGCAACCCUGUCUCUAAUAAAAUACAGAAUACGGCUGGGGAUGUGAUUUAGUCUUGGAGUAUCCCUGAGUUCAAUUCCCAGUACUGUGCCCCUAUAACAAAGAAUGAAUUCAUAAGGGCUAGGGGUUUAUCUUAGUGGUGGAACACUUGCUAGCAUGUGUAAUAUACUGGUGUAAUCCCCAGUACCAAAAAAAAAAUCAUGAAAUGAACAACUAUUGACAAAUGCAAUUAUGAAAUGGUAAAAAAUUUCCGACGGAAAUUUCUUAAAAAUGAAUGAAGAAGUGUUUUAACUAAUAAGAUUUUAAGUAUUGCAAGAUCAUUACAUGAGAAUAAUUUUGAUUAAAUGUUUUUAUUAGAAAACUCAAGAGAGCUAAAUAAAAGCAAUAAGAAUUACCAAGAGAUAAAUUAGAAAGUAGGAGACUAAAAGUAGAUACAGAAAAUGCUGUAAAGUUUUUCUCAUCUAAGUUAUCAGGGUUACUGUAUCAGGUAUACAGUUUCCUAUAUACAAGCGAUGCAUUAAGAAGAAAAUAUCUAUACAUAAAUCAAAUGAAUAAAAUAAACAAAUGUUGUAGUACAUGUUUUAGUCAGCUUUUUUGUUUCUGUGACCAUAAUACAAAUUAGAGGAGGAAAAGAUUAUUUGGGGCUCAUUGUUUCAGAGGUCUCAGUUCCUAGAUGGCUGACUCCAUUGCUCUGGGCCCAAGGCCAGGCAGUGCAUAAUGGUGGAAGGGCCCAGCAGAGGAAAGAUGUUUAGCUUAUUGUAGGGUUAGGAAGCAGAGGGAAGGGCAAGAACCACAAGUAAGAUGUACCCUUCUAAGGUUCGAUCCCAUUGAGCUGCAUUUUCUAGUCACAGCCCUCUUGACCCUAGUUGCCACCCAAUUAGUCCAUUCAAAUUAGGUAGGACUAAGGUUACAGGUUGAAUAAUCUAAUCAUUUUACCUCUGAAUAUUUCUGCAUUAACAGGAACUUUUUAGGAAUACCUCAUAUCCAAAUCAUAAUGGAACAUAUAAAAAACUCAUACAAAAAUAUUUAUAACCAUUAUGGAUAUAUAUAUAUAUAUAUAUAUAUAUAUAUAUAUAUAUAUGCAUAUAUAUGUGUGUGUGAAUAUAUAUAUGUGUGUGUGUAAUUUUGUAUAAAUUAAGAUAUUUUUGUUUAAACUAUUAAGUUACUUAGGUUUGUGUAGCUGUGACCAGUAUACCUGAUAACUUAGAUGAGAAAAAGUUUAUUUUGAGCUCAUAGUUUCAGAGGUUCAGUCCAUAGAUGACAUACUUUCUAGUCCUGGGCCAUGGUGAUGCAGAACAUAAUAGUGAAAACAUAACAUGGAAGAAAGCUGCUCAAUUAUGACAGUCUUAGCAGAGAGAAUUUGAGUGCAAGGAUCCAGGAAUAAUAUAAUUCCCACUGGAAUGCCCCACAGUCCUCUAGCCCACACCUACCUGCCUACAAUUAUGACCUAUUAGUCUAUUCAAAUUAUUAAUCCAUCAAAUAGAUUAACCCACUGGUUAGGUUACAGCUCUCAUAAGUAGUCAUUUCACCUCCAAACAUUACUGCAUUGUCUCACACAUGAACUUUGGGGGACACCUCAUAUUCAAACCAUAACAACUACUUAUUGGAGGUUCAAAUAUUGUUAAAAUGUCUAACCUUCUAGAUUAAAUUACACCAUAAUCGUAGGCAUUCCACAAGAAAAAUGAGGACUUUAGUAUGGUAGCUGUAAGGAACUGAUAUUGCCAAGAACAGAAUUGAGCUUGGGAAAGAAUUCCUCAGGCCAAAAGAAAGCUCAGCCAGCUGUGACACUGACUUUAGUCUGAACAGGGAUCCUAACCACACUGUGCUAAACUUCUGACCUAGAGAACUAUGAGUGACCCAGUUUGUAGUAAUUAAUUACACAGCAGUAGAAAAGUGAUAUGACAUAUAAAUAUUACCAAUCACAGUUCUGAGGAAACAUAUUUUAUCUUAACAUGAUACAGCUAUUCAUCUGGAAGGAUGAACAGUUAUUGAAAAAGUUGAGAACAUCAUGAAUAAAUGUUUGAAUAAGAAAAAAGUGCACCUCAAGACCUUGCACACAUAAUUAAAUGUGCCCUAGCUUCUCAGUAAUUUAUAGAUGUAUUGUGAAAGACAUCAGAAAGCCCAAAGACAAUUUCUACCUUUCUAAAUUCUUAGCAUAUGAUUUUUAAAAAUCAUAAAAGCCCAUGAGUCAGACAUUUAAACAAAAUGUGUUUGAAAAAUUACCUAGGAAAUAAAAUAAUAUGAGAUUGGAACCACACACUAACAAUAAAAAUUAUGGUCAGAUUACUUUGUGUGACAUUUAAAACAACUGGAACUGAAAGAAUCUAAGAGACAAUACAAGCUUUUGGUUUGCAAUGACUUUCUACAUAUAAAACAAUGUAAGAAAAUGAGGGAAAAAAACUUCCUGCAUUAAAAGAACAAAACUUAAAAGAUAGAUAAAUAUAAAAUAUGUAAGAAACAUACAUUAUUGAAUUAAAAAGAAAAAAUAUUAGAGGAUGGGAAUAGGAUUCUCUGAACAGUAGUAAUGGAAAUGGAUAAAAGUUAGUUAAUAAAAUAAAUAAAAAAAACUAGUUUUCAUAUAUAAAAGUCACUGUUCUAAAAGUAAUAAUUGGGAGAUAGUUAUUGUGAAUGCAGUUUGACUCAAGAGUGUUGCUAUGUUCAUCUCCUUUGACAGAAUGUUUCAAUUUUUAUGAAAUCUAUUAUAAGAAGAUAUUUAGAAUUGUGAAAAUUAUUUAUGCAUGUAGUAUGUAUAGUAAUUAGACACUGGAAGGAAUCCAAAUAUGACACUGUGUAGAAACUGGGCAACUAUGUUGUUGAAUGAUUGAAUGGCAGUAUAUUCCAAAGGCCUUAAGGUAUUCUAUGAAAAAACAUUAAAAAGAAGAAAAUGCAAAUAGUCAACAAAGUUAAAUGUAGAAGCCGGUAGCUAUCAGAUAACUGUUCAAACAAAAAUAACUGAAAGUAAAUACCCACAGAUAUGAAUAAUUAUAUCAGGGUUUGAAGACUAUAGAAAAAUUUUUUAAAAGUUUAUAUUUAAAGUUUUUCUCUUUUGUUUGUUUGUUUUGUUUUUUGCUUAGCAUUCACCAUCAUUAACUUUUCAAUCUGAAAGAGAUCUAUGUGAAUUAUUAUUUUUAGGUGAUGCCUAUACUCUUGCUAUUGAGAGUAUGAUGCAAUCUAUCAACACUAGCAUCAUCUGAGUGCUUGCUAGGAAACCAAAGCCUAACUGGGAGAAAAUGCUAUUGAAAGAUGUGAUGGUCCUCAGGGAUCCUGUUGAAAUUCCUCUGCCAUCAAAGAGCUAAUUUUUUAUUCCCUGCUUCCUACCAUUUCAGAGAGUUCAUUCAUUUCUUCCUUGUGUUUUAUUUUAUUAUCUUUGUGUCUUAAUUGUUUCCAUGUCUGAGCAUAGGAAAAUACUUUUUUAAAGAAAAACUUAUUUUUAUUUGGCCAUGCCUUUUAGAUAAUGGUGGUCUUUAAGAGUCCCCUUCUUUUUUUUUUUAAAUAAUUGGUGAUGAAAUUAUUAGUGAGCAUAAUAUUUAAAAAAAUGAUUUUGCUUUCAAUGAAAACAAUAUUUUCUUACUAGGGCCUCACAUAAUUCAAUUGGCAAGGAAUUAAAUAAAAGGUUAUAUUCUCCAAAACUUAAUCUUCUUCAUUAAAAAAUUACAAUCAGAGAUUUUUCAAAAUCCUCUGUUAUUUAUCUAUUACUUGAGAUUCCAUAAUUUUAAUGUGUUAAAAUUAAUGCUUUAAAUUAUCAAUUACAUACUGCAUCCUUGGCUUUUAAAGAGAAAUGUUAAAAAACAUUAAAAAUGAAUUAAUAUCAUGAUAUUGACUAUGAAAUUAUGUAAUCUUGCAUAAAUUAAAUUCCAAAGAAAAAAGGUUACAAAAAAAUGAGGUCUCCUUUUCCUUUAUAUCAAACUAAAAAAAUAGCAUACCUUGUGUAUGGAAAUAUACUUUAUUCUGCAGAUUUCUUUUUUUCUUUUUCUUUCUUUCUUUUUUUUUUCAUAAGAACUACGGAUUGAACACUCUCAGGUGCUUUAUCACUGAGUUAUAAUCUCAGUUCUUUUAUUUUUUUUUUUUAUUUUGAGUCAGGGUCUUGCUAGGUUGCUGUGCUUGGUAUUGAAUUUGAGAUCCUCAUCCCUCAGGUUCCAGAAUCACUGGGAUAACAGGUGUGCACUACCACACCAGGCUCUUCACUUUAUAUCUUUGAACCAAGGGAUAAGGCAAUACUAAAAAUCCAGUAAUUUGCUCAUCUUGGAUGUCUUUACACACACUUCUCUUUUUUAUUAGCAUGUCUUUUGGCAUUUUUCACCAACUUAUGCAGAUUUCUCAUCUGUAAUAUGAGAGGAUCAGUACUCGACAUGGUGGGUUGUAAGAAUUAAAUGAAAUAAAACAUUCCUCAAAAUUCAACUGACUUUCAAUACAUGGUGAUGUUCUGUAAAUAGUAGCUGCUGUUACAAUAAAUUUGCUUACAAUUCUUAAUACAAUUGUAAUGCAAAAAAAGAGAGAGCGAGCUCAUGUAUAAUGACAAUUUGGCAUGAACAUACUUUAUAUACAGAGUUAUGAAAAAUUGUGCUGUGGAUGGAUAAUUAUGAAUGUAAUGCAUUCCAUUAUUGUCAUGUAUGCAAGAAAUAAAAAUAAAUAAAUAAAUAAAAGUUAUGGAAAAAAUUUAAAAAAACCAAUAAAUUUGCGAUUUUCAAAUGUUUUAAAAUAUAAGCCAACACAGUUUUAAAGAUGAAUAUGAAUAUAAUAAAUAGUUAUUUUUAAAAAAAUUGUUAAUAAGCUAAUUUAAAAUAUUCUUUUAAAUUUUCCAAUGUUUUCAGCAUGAGCAGCAUUUUAAGAUUCUUAAAUAGUAAUUAAAUGAGAGAGAUUACUUUCCUGACCAUUUUUCUUAAGGUAAAUUGUCUGCAAGUUAUCAUUCACCAUAAAUUCAAUUUUAACAAUGUGUCUGCUUUUAGACCUGGUCUCAGUUUCAACUAUUUUCUUAGGAUAUGUUUGGUUUGGGUACAAAUGGAUUCCAACUGGGGGGAUUUAAUCAAAACCAUAGGAAGUCUUUAGCUGGAGGUAGAAUAAAUUUACAACCAAAGGUUUGGCUUUAUCACUCCCUGCAUCUAACAUCUAUGUGACUUAAUAUACUAUCUAGUUUACUACACAACAAGCUAGCUAGCACAUUCUAAAGAGGUAAAUUAGGUUCAAGGAGAUAACAGAUGCUUCUAUUUUCCUGAAAUAGUAACAUGGAGAUUGCUAUCAAGGCAAUUAGAGCAAAGCAACAGUGAGUAGUAUUUGUUGGAAAUCAGAUAUACAUGAACUUGAAAAUGAAGUUCUAAUUGCUACACCAGUGUUUUAUUUUGGACUUACUAAAUAGCUACAAAUUGAAUUCCUUUGUAAAUGAAUGAAUUUAGUAUAAGCUCUAGACCAUGAAGUACAUAAUACUAGGAUGGUGAUUAUAUUUGGACUAGAUGGAGUGGUCUUCAAAGUGUAGGCCCAGUGUAGGGUCUACUGCAGCAAGGUAAUUUGAAAGGUUUUGUAAAAGCCAUGACUAAAUAUUGUGUGGUCUAAUAACACUGAAAAAAAAAAACCUUCAUAUUUUAUAGGGAUAACUAAUAAAAUUAUUAUUACUUGGCAUGCAGAAACCUGCUUAUAAAAUCCAUUAAUGAACUUCUUUGAAGUAUUUCAAACUAUGAAUUUAAUCAAUCAGGCUUUACUUGGAUUAAUAUCACUUGAAUGGAUAUAAAAACUUAAUUUUUAAAUUAGGAAUAAAUUAGGUGUUCUCCGUCAGAUUUGUUCUUAUUUCUCUCAGGCAGCAAAAUUGAUGUAACAAUUUUCAAACUUUUGUUCUACACUCCCCUUUCCUUAAUAUGAAUUUCAUGAGAUCAAGCCCAUAGAAGUAAAAAUAAAUAAUAUCACCAGAGAAGACUUAUUUUAAUAAGUAUAUACUCACACAAUAACUUUUAAGUAUAAAUAAUGGUAGACUAAGAGUGCAUCAUCAUUAUUAGCUUUGGGAGAAGUUCUUAAACCAUGAAGGAGAAUGUCACCCAGAAGUGGUAUAUUGCAUUUUUCAACUGAAGUUCUCCUUUCAAUUGACAUUUAUGAGAGCCUUUCUAUGGUAUGAUCAAGAAGCUCUUUAACUGUAGUUAUAAACUUUUUUCGUUAUUAUUUCCAACAUAUUCACCUUGCAUAGAAACAUAGCUAUUGUGUUGCAAGUAAAAUUGCAGAUUGAGCAAUAUAGUCUGCCAGGAAUUACAUGCCUAUAUAUAGAGAAAAACAGAAUUGGUUCUUAUGAUCUCAAAUUCCUUGCUUUUUCAAUCAAACUAUAGAUUUUACUCUCAGUAUCCUCUCAUAUUUAUGCAGCUAAUUUUAGAUAGAAAUCAUUGAUAUACUUUCAUAUUUAAUUUUCAAAGAAACCUCAGAUUUCAGUUUGAUUAAACACCUUUAUUGGUAGCAACAUCUUUCCUCAAUUUACCUGCCAUUUUCAAAGUUAUGAAGUUGUAUUUUCACAUAUGAACUAAACAUGGGUAUGUAUGUGUUCAAUAACUGGUAAGUAUUAAUAAAAGCACAAAUCAUUCAAGUGUUUUGGAUACUUUGUACCAUAUGUAAAGAUAAGGCAUUGUUUCCUGGCUAUUUUAUAUUCUUGUCAAUAUUUAUUCUUUCUUUGAGAAGUACACAGCUUGUUCAAAGUUCUUUAAGUUCAGGAUUGAUUGAUUUUUAGUUUUAUAUUUAUUUUUGAUGUUAGGGAUUGAUCUAAGAGUGCUUUAUUAUACAGCAACAUCUUCAGUCCUUUUUAUUUUUCAUUUUUUAAAAAAAAUUUAAGACAAGUUCUUUUUAAGUUGCUGAGGUUGGCCUUAAACUUGUGAUUCUCCUGCUUUGGCCUCCCGAGUUGCUGGGAUUCAGGUAUCUACUACUGUUUCCAGUUCCCAGGAGUAGAGUAUUUAAUGAACAAUAAUAAAGAUUAUAAUCUUCCCAUUUUAAUUGCAUAAAGCUUUUAAAAAUAUAAGUUAAUAAUAGGCUUUGAUGAAAAAUAAUUUUUGAAACAUGUUAUUCUUUCCCAAAUCUUAACCUAUACUUGAUGAAUGAUGUUUUAACAUCAAAUGUUAAGUUAUAGUCCCUGAAAACUAACCUACUUUUCACAAAAUUGUGCUUUAAACUUCUGUUUUAGUAUAUUUCAUUGCCAACAUAUUUAUUCUGUAGGAUAAUUUUCAAUGCAUAUUAUAUUUCUUAAAUCUAUUAUGUAUAAUACAUACAAGUAUAAUAAUGUAAGUAAUCUUUUAGGACUGAAAGUCAUUUUAUCAUCAUCAACUAAUCUAGAAUGUCUGGUUUAUGGAGCCAAGAAAUUUCUGCCUGACAGCGGCUACUAUACUAAGCAGAAUUUAAGGAGAACUAAUUAGCUCCAAGAUGAAUCUAUUAAAUUUUAAGUUAUCAAAAUUCUCUCAUUCUACAUGCAUCUGUGCUGCUUAUUUUAUAUUCCAUUUUUGCCAAGAAACAUAGUCAAUUUGAAUUAACUUUUAUAUAAUAACUUCAAUAAGGCCUUUAAAACAGUUGGUUACUUAACACAGACCAUUUAAGUGAGCUCCUUUCUACUUAGCAACGUGAGCCUUAAUGCAAAGAACAGAAAUGGUCUGUCUUAAGCAGUAAUAGAGCAAUUUACCAGUUAAACCAAACUCAUUAUUUCACUCAGUUCAUGAUGAAUAUUUUAAUACAGCUUAAACUAAAACACUUGAAAGCACAUAUACACAAAAAUGUAAAGAUAUUUAACAAUAGAAUCAUUCAUAUAGAAGAUGUUUAAUUUCUGCCAAACGAUGUUGACCUAACAACUCAUUCAAAUUAAAAAUAUUAGAUAUUGAUUUAAUAUGUUUAAACAAUAAAUUUUAGUAAAUUUUUAAUCUGUUCAUUCACUAAAUAUUUGUAAUGAAAGAAUUUGGGAAAAUUCAUAUCAAAUCAUUAAUCUGUGAGAAUUAAAGCAACAUUUAAAGGUGGAGGAAAAGUUGAGGGAUAUUUAUUUUCUUCCUGAAUAUUUAUAUUUUCCUAUAUUUAAUAAGGAUGACAUUAUUUUAUUACAGUAACUUAAUUAUAUAAUAUUUUAACAUAUAAAAAAUGUAAAACAUUUUACUCUGGUUCUUUACACUUAGAAACUACAUUGAUAAUCUGGGGCAGAAUAGAAUGAGGAGAAAAGGAAAGGUUUAGGCAGCAAUCCGACAUGCCCCAGAACACUCCCUGCAGUCCUGGAGGCUUUUGUUUACUUAGAUCCCCAUAGUUACCCAGGAAGCUUGAUAUUAAAAAAAAAAAAAAAAAAAAAAACAUAAUCCAAAUGAUCCUGACUUGACAAUUUCACCCUUUGUGUUUUCACCAAAAAAGAACAGAUAAUUCACUAAAGAAAAAAAAAAUCUCAUUUAGCAUAGGAGAGGAAAAAAAAAAAGGUCAAUUCACAGAUAAUCAGGAAGAUGCCACUAUACAAAUAGGAGAAAGCAUUUCUUAAAAUUUAAAAAUGGAAUUGUGUCAGAGGAAGAUAUAAAUGUGGGAAAGCAAAAAAUCUACCACAUGCCUGAUGGGAGUAUAUACUGCUAUCAACAAAGAAGAAGGCAGUCCAGCAGUAUAAAUAAAAGAAAGGCUCCACACACCCUGGAAGUCAAAAAAUUACUUGUCUCCGUGUGUGUGCGUGUGCGUGUGUGUGUGUGUGUGUGUAAGCAUAUACAACCUGGUGAAUCUAUUGAACUUUUUUGUAAGAUAUAAGCAAAUAUUUUUCUUAUUACACAUUUUCAUAUAAUGCAAGAUUAAAAAUUACUAAAGUAACUGCCAACUAAUGAUCGGAUUGACACAUUUUAGUAUUUUUCAUACAGUAGGCCACUGAAAUUUAGCAGAUUUUUCACUAUAUUUGAAUAGAGGCUCAUGAACCAAAUUGAUAAAUUAUAUCAAAAAUGUCAAGUAAAAAGAAAAUAACAAUGCAAAUAAACUUUACCACUACAAUAAAGUACAGUGCUUUGUAUUACAGAUUUAUGUAGUGCAUAAAAUUACAAAAAUUGCAAUUGUGAACUUAAAUUUAGGGAGGUAACUACCUCUGGCAGGAGGAAGAGAACUGAAAUUGGCAAAAGAGAGAGAGAGAGAUAGAGAUGAGGGAGAGAGAGAGAGAGAGAGAGAGAGAGAGAGAGAGAGAGAGAGAGAGAGAGAUUUAAGUGUGUAUAUAGUGCUAUUGGCAAAAUACUUGCAAUUAUUUUUAACUAAAUAAAUCCAAGUGGUUAGACUGUCCCUUGGAAGUCACUGAGAAAAACAUUAGUGGCAUUCUCAUUAUUCUGGAGAGAAGGCCCAACUUCUUCUGAGUUUAGACUUCAUCAAGAAUUUCCAGAAAAUUUGUCCUAAUCUUUGAUCCUUUGCAGUAAUAUGCUGGCAAAUGCUAAACAUUAGUCUUUCUGGUGUGUGGGAGGUGGGGGUGGGGGAGGAGUAUGGGAAUUGGAGAUGGAUAUUGGGAAAGUCCUAAUUGGUUGCAUCUGAUGAUUAUGGUGAUGUAUAUUUCCCUAACAUGACCAUUUUCAAUUCACCAAUAUAUUGCUGAAUGCAGAAUACAAAAAAGUUGCAUAGCACACACUAUACAUAAAGCCUCAAGAGCAAAGCUAAACCUGGAAUACAUAAAAAAUGAAUAGGAAUGAUGAGUAUUUAUUAAGCCUUAAAAAUAUAAUUCAUUAAUUUUAAGUUUAUAUAACUGAUUUUUUAAAGGAUGCACUUAACAGUCAGUACUUGAAAUUUCUAGAAAUAUAAUAAUUGAUUUUGUUAAGACAGUGCUAGGUAUCUACAGAUCAUUGUUUGUUCUUUUUUCUCUUUCUUUCCCAUGAUAGCCAUGUUAUCCCCCCAAAGCAUGAUUAGCAUCCUGGCUGGAUCAAGGUCAAACCACAACAUAUAAAAAUGUAUACUUUCAGGCAAAAGAUUGCGUCUGUUUUUUCCAUUCUAAUUGCCAUGAGUAUGAUCAUUUUGAUAGAAAGGAAAUUAGAAGUAUAUACAUGACUGCAUAAUUAUCUUCAUAAUAUAAGCUGGGCAAAACAAAGCCUACCUCCAACCCACUCUUAUCUAUAAAUGUUGCUGAUGUUGGAACUUAGUAUCAUCUUUAAUGUUUUGAUUCUGUGUAGAAUCAUGGAAACUCAAAUUAAGUUUCAGAAAAAUGAUGGAAAUUAGCAUGUUAAGUGAUCUUCAACUCACUGUACGUAUUCUUCCUAAGCAGUGUGCAGAGUGCAGGAUUAUGCAUCUAAAAUGUGCUUAUUGACAGAUAAAAUAGAGACAGCUUAUACCUCCCACAAGAAAGCUUUGCAUGAAUGAGAGCAGGUGUAUGUCACAUUCCAGAAUUCAGAUGAUGCUAAUGUGCCUUCUAAAUUCAUUUGGCUUACAAUGUCUCCUCAGAUUGCACACAAGUGUAAGUAAAUGUUUUCUUCUGUUUUGAUUUGAAUACUUUCAUAAUCUAUUUAUAUUUAUGGCUAUAAAGUGAUGAAUGGUCAUGAAAAUUGCUAGGUUUAGAAUAAUGAAUGUAUAUAUUGUGCCACGCAAUAAUUUAGAAUAGGUACAAUAUCUAUAAAUGAUUUAAUUUAUGCAAAGGCAUAUACAAACUUAAAAAUACUUAGCAACAUCAAUAUAGAAAAGAGCCUGGUUUAACAUUUAUACAGAUUUUUUUCAUUCAAAGGGAUGUGUUUAUCCUACAAUAAACCAUAAAUGAAUGAAUCUUGAAAAUAACAGUUUUGGGUUCUUAUAAUUUUCUGUCCCCACAGAGAAUGUAAAACAUCAGAAGGACAGAAUCAUAAAAACAAUUCCUCUGAUACAAAGCAGGCAAUUCCAUCCCUCCCUAUUUCUAACUUGAGAGGAACAUGAAGCAUACAACCAGCAAGGGAAAAAGUGAGUGUGGGGAACGUCUGGGUUCUUUGCCUCCUUUAUAAAAUGGCCAAAUGUUUGCUAAUUAUAACAUACCCUGGGAAUUUGCUUGGUAUCAAUUCUUUAUAUAAAAAAAAUAAUGAAACUUUAAAAAAAUACAAAUGGAAAUGGAGUGUCAUCUUUAUUUCAAUGAGAAAGGUUGGUCAAAGAGUUCCUUCAGAGAAAUUCAUUGUCACCUCAUUUCAAGUAAAUGGAGAUAUAAUUCAAAUGGUGGCUUAAGUUUUUCCACCAUAACUCUAAGAAUGGAUGCUAUUCCUGUUGGAAUGUGGGCUUUGAUGUUACCUAGACUAAAAAGUAUUGUUACAAAUCAGCAGUUUUUAAACUUCAGCAUACAUUACAGUUAUGAUAAUGAUGGGCUCUAAUCCAAAUUUCUAUUUGGUAUAUCUUGACAUGAGGUCUGAGAAUUUGGAUUUUUAAUUAUAAUGCACAUAUUCUGCUGUUCCUUCUGUAAUAUAGAUGAUACAUUGGGACCCUAACUCUAAGCAAUAUUAUAUAUUGAAAGGAAAUAUGACCAUAUCACAGUGGUAAAGAAAUUUAUAAAUGUGAAAAUUGCCAGAUUCAACAUAAUGUGUGUAAUGUUGAGAAAACUGAUGUGAAGAGACUACACAGAACUCUGUAAUGUAUUAGAAUAAAAUAUUUCAAAUAAACUCAGCAGGUAGAUAUUUUAAUCAGCUUUUCAUCACUGUGAUCAAAAUACCUGAUAUAAACAACUUAAAGGAGGAAAGAUUUAUUUCAGCUCACAGUUUCAGUCCAUGGUCAGCAAGAUCCGUUGCCUUGGGCCUGAGAUGAAGCAGAACAGCUGGAAGGGCAUGGCUGAAGAAAGAACGCUGUUCAGCUUAUGGCAGCUAAGAGAAAGAAAGAAAGGGACAAGAUGUAAUACCAGAGGGCACACCCCCAGUGACCUGCUUCCUCCAACCAUGUCCACCUGUCUACAGUUUCCACCACUUUCCAGCAGUCUAUUCAAAUCAUCACUCCAGCAAAUAGAAUUGACCAAUAAGUUUUCUCCAGAGAUCAGCAUCCAUGAGUGGAAUCUGCUUUGUUUUUCUAAUUAUCAGCAGCUGGAUGAAAUAGCAUCCAAAAGAGAGGAAAUAGAAUGGAGAGAACUUCAAGCCAUGUUACUAACAGGUGUGUCUAAGGAUCAAGUUCUUAAACAACUCUGGGAAGAUGGGAUGUACUUUGCAGCUGACCUGUCCCUGUUGAUGGAGAAAAAACAUCAGGAAUUUGCAUACAAUGACUGACUUGCUUUCCUUCCCAUUAUAUUAAAGGAGACCCUCAUUGUUACACAAAAUUACAUAUAAGAGGUUGUGAGGGGAAUGGGGAAAAAAACAAGGAGAGAAAUCAAUUGUAGUAGAUGGGGUAGAGAGAGAAGAUGGGAGGGGAGGGGGGAUAAUAGAGGAUAGGAAAGGUAGCAGAAUACAACAGUCACAAAUAUGGCAUCAUGUAAAAAUGUGGAUGUGUAACUGAUGUGAUUCUGCAAUCUGUAAUUGGGGUAAAAAUGGGAGUUCAUAACCCACUGGAAUCUAAUGUAUGAAAUAUGAUAUGUCAAGAGCUUUGUAAUGUUUUGAACAACCAAUAAAAAAUAUUAAAUGAA